AUUCACCAUGUGGUGAAUGAACACACAUGGACACUGAGACAUUGUGAACAUGACUGCCUGUGGGACAACCACACCAAGGAAUGGAUAAAAAAGGGCUCUCCAGCACAUCAGGCUUUCACAGACAUCAUCCUCAACACAAGGUGGCUGAAGGAUCUUCAUAAAUACCUGAACUUCAGAUCAACAGCUGAUCUUGAGACCUACCAGAACAAUAUUCUGAUGUACGCCAACAAGCGUUUUUCCUUUUCCCCACCAGUCUGAGGCCAGAACACUGCUUCAAGGCCUGAAGCGUUGGGUGAAACUCGAGACCAUGCAGGAGCUACAGAAACCUCCUCCAGCUCAGCAACCCUGUGAGAAACCCAGGU